GCGGCAGCUUACCAUGCAGUCGAGCGGUAACAGGGGGUGCUUGCACCCCGCUGACGAGCGGCGGACGGGUGAGUAAUGCAUAGGAAUCUGCCCAGUAGUGGGGGAUAGCCCGGGGAAACCCGGAUUAAUACCGCAUACGCCCUUUGGGGGAAAGCAGGGGAUCUUCGGACCUUGCGCUAUUGGAUGAGCCUAUGUCGGAUUAGCUAGUUGGUGGGGUAAAGGCCUACCAAGGCGACGAUCCGUAGCUGGUCUGAGAGGAUGAUCAGCCACAUCGGGACUGAGACACGGCCCGAACUCCUACGGGAGGCAGCAGUGGGGAAUAUUGGACAAUGGGGGCAACCCUGAUCCAGCCAUGCCGCGUGUGUGAAGAAGGCUUUCGGGUUGUAAAGCACUUUCAGUGAGGAGGAAAACCUUCUGGUUAAUACCCAUGAGGCUUGACGUUACUCACAGAAGAAGCACCGGCUAACUCCGUGCCAGCAGCCGCGGUAAUACGGAGGGUGCAAGCGUUAAUCGGAAUUACUGGGCGUAAAGCGCGCGUAGGUGGUUUGAUAAGCGAGAUGUGAAAGCCCCGGGCUUAACCUGGGAACGGCAUUUCGAACUGUCAG
rnacentral:rRNA from 1 species